rnacentral:tRNA from 1 species
GACAGUGUGGCCUAGUGGAAAGAGCACAGGCUUGAAAGCCAGAGGACCUGGGUUCUAAUCUCAGCUCUGCCA